UACGGAGGGUACAAGCGUUAUCCGGAUUCACUGGGUUUAAAGGGAGCGUAGGCGGAACGAUAAGUCAGUGGUGAAAGCCCCGAGCUCAACUUGGGAAUUGCCAUUGAUACUGUUGUUCUUGAGUUCGGUUGAGGUAGGCGGAAUGUUACAUGUAGCGGUGAAAUGCUUAGAUAUGUAACAGAACACCGAUUGCGAAGGCAGCUUACCAAGCCGACACUGACGCUGAGGCUCGAAAGCGUGGGGAUCAAACAGG
rnacentral:rRNA from 1 species